GAUGAACGCUGGCGGCGUGCUUAACACAUGCAAGUCGAACGAAGCACUUUAUUUGAUUUCCUUCGGGACUGAUUAUUUUGUGACUGAGUGGCGGACGGGUGAGUAACGCGUGGGUAACCUGCCUUGUACAGGGGGAUAACAGUUGGAAACGGCUGCUAAUACCGCAUAAGCGCACGGCAUCGCAUGAUGCAGUGUGAAAAACUCCGGUGGUAUAAGAUGGACCCGCGUUGGAUUAGCUAGUUGGUGAGGUAACGGCCCACCAAGGCAACGAUCCAUAGCCGACCUGAGAGGGUGACCGGCCACAUUGGGACUGAGACACGGCCCAAACUCCUACGGGAGGCAGCAGUGGGGAAUAUUGCACAAUGGGCGAAAGCCUGAUGCAGCGACGCCGCGUGAGCGAAGAAGUAUUUCGGUAUGUAAAGCUCUAUCAGCAGGGAAGAUAAUGA
rnacentral:rRNA from 1 species